GUUUUUAGCAGAAAGGAUCAACACAAUUUGUUUGGACCUUAGAAUCACGUAGAAAGAGCACUCUUGAAAUGUCAACUCUUGCGAAGGGUUCUAGAGACAAGAUAAUCCUCGAGACUGAGAGAGAGAGAGAGAAGGAGAUUGAGAGGAUCUGAGUCUGCGGUGCUCUCUGUCUCUGCCGAGCUCUUCCCUUGAGGGCAGAGCUGAAGAGACCCGCCCUUCUCCGGCUGCGUUUUGCCGCCCUUCCUGUUAGCACGAACCCGGUGAGGGUCAGAGGCAGAGAAAAGCGUGAUUGUUUUCGUGUGUUUGUUUUCCAGAAGCCGGGGAGAGAGAAAGUGAACUCCACAGACCAACGGUGCAAAGGCUCUGGGAGGUGAGCAGGGGCCAGUUCCACUGUCACCAGGGAUGGAGUCAUCCUGGGCCCGUGUACCCUCCAUGCUGGACAUGUUUGGAAUGACCUCAGGACUUAGCUUCUCCCUUUCAAAAGCAGUUGCUCUCAAAGAUGGCGUGGUGAUGUCUAAAGAAUUCAGGAUUUGGAUUCAGAAUCCCCAAGUCUUGGUCUAGGCUCUUUCGCACACACACGAAUUUCAUCACAUGCUCAUGCCCAAACCACCUGUGGGAAUGCAAACGGAAUAACAUGAUUGGCUGAGACUAGUUAAGAUUCAC
rnacentral:lncRNA from 1 species